rnacentral:rRNA from 1 species
AGCGAACGCUGGCGGCGUGCUUAACACAUGCAAGUCGAACGCGCAGUUUCCUGUAGCAAUACAGGGGGCGGGCGCGUGGCGAACGGGUGCGUAACACGUGGAUAACCUUCCUUCAGGUGGGGAAUAACCCCCGCGAAAGCGGGGCUAAUACCGCAUAACAUGACGAUGGCACAUGCCGUUGUCCUCAAAGCCGCAAGGCGCCAGAAGAGGGAUCCGCGGCCGAUUAGCUUGUUGGCGAGGUAAUGGCUCACCAAGGCAUUGAUCGGUAGC